AGAGAACUGAAAUUGAAAGGAAAGAAAGAUGAAGACAAAACUGUUAAAAGAACAGAUAAUAACAGUUUUGCAUAAAAACAACACACAGCAGCUUUAGGACACUGCUUUUGAUAAAGGUAAAAUUCACAUGGAAAAUCAUGCCAAGUAAGAAGACCAAAAAACAAACAAGGAACACUGAAAAGGCCUGA
rnacentral:lncRNA from 11 species